GGAAAGUACGGCUCAUGGUGAGCAGGCGGCCUCGAAAGCCGCCGCGUGCGCAAGCACGGGGGUUCGAUCCCUCUACUUUCCG
rnacentral:tRNA from 1 species